rnacentral:lncRNA from 1 species
GUCCAACAAGCUAAUAAUAUCCAUAAAAGCAAAUGUUCUACCCCAAGUGCAUAAGUUUAAUACAUUUCAAGAUAGUUAGUUUCAAAAUGUUGACAACAAAAUAUUCCUAGAACAUUCAUCUAUAGCAAUUCAAAAUUCAUCUUUAAGUAAGGUCUAGAUCUUCAUUGCCUUCAUCUUCUAUUUCUUGAUCUACUCCACCUAUAAAAGAGGAUAAAUAAAGUCAUUACCUUUCAUCUUGAAUGCCUAGACUAAAUAAAUUGAUCAAAAAAGAAAAAGAAAAUAAUGGGCAUACAAGAUGCUAGUCACGAGCCUAGCUCUUCUACAGAAACACAUUAUCUAGACCCAAAUUUGGACAUUAAAUGUACAUACAAGCUACUAAAAAGGAACAACAUAUCAAAUUAAUCCCGUUAUAGGAUUUAAAAGGAAAAGAAGUCAGUUUGCACAAAUUUGGUUUUGUGACCACUAGCUAAUUCCUGAUUUCAUAUCACAACAUAUGCCAGAGUAAGGAAAUUAUAUAGGAAGGAAUAACAAUUAUAAUAACUUUUUUCUGCAAAUGAGUCGACCAAAUAAUAACCAACAGUGAAUAAUAAGUAGUGCAAUCAACUUACCAUACUAAUUCAAUACAUUGACAAUGUUAAAGUACCUGCAACAUUUACUCUUCAUACUGAACUUUUCUUUUGAAAAGGUAAGGUAGUGUUAUAAAUCCAGAACUAACAAUGUGCUAUUGUAGCUUUAAAUAAUUAACAGAGGCAGAAAAAGUAAAAGGAUAAGCCCCAAAAAACCAAUCUUGUAAUAAUUCUAACACCUGAAGAACAAUUUCAACCUCAUUUACAUGUUCCAUCCACACCAAAAGCAAGAAUAGGAUGUUAAUGGAGUCCCCUCCACGGCCUUUGAUAAUUGGAAAAAGCACCAGAUUUAUCCUUUCCUAUUGUAAACUCAAUAAAUAUUGCAAAGUCUAAUAUUGCAUAGUCCAAAUAUAUUUUGACAAACUCAUGAUAAAGACCAAACAAGACACAAAGUUUAGACCUUUCAGAUAAAUAAAACAAAUUACCUCUCUUCCUCAACUUUAUUCUAUAAUCGUAAAAUCCCUAUAUUUAACAAAAAAUUGUAGCUAUUUAGACAUAAGUAUCCUAUACUAGCCCAAAAAAAAAUCACUUCAUAACUAGACCAAAAAAUGCAAGUAACCUAACAGAAAGCUAGCAGUGGUUUUCUCGUAAAAUGAUGGGCAAAAUGGAUGAAUUCUGGAGUACAUUUUCAGUGCAACAAUCUUUCACAACAUCACAGGUAGUACAUGGUCAAGAGUACACAACAAUAAGCAAGUGGACACCAUACGACUAUAGGUACACAGGCAGCAGAUUUGAACACACCACAACAGCUAUCUCGAUGCAUCACAGAAUAAAACAAUAAGGGAUAGACAAAGUACAGAGGGAUAUGAUGCAGCAUGCUUACACGCAAUCAUAAUAUGGAAUAAAUGCAAAAGUUCCAACAGGAAACAAAGAGAUGAAUGCCAGAUACCAAAGGAAAGACAAUCACCUAUCCAGGGAAGAUAUGCUGAGAGGAAAAUCAAAAACUCAGCCAACAAUAUGGUGCUGGAAACAAUACUGUCCUCAAAAAACAAGAUCCAUCGACAUAGGAUGCAAGCUCAAACACUAGAGUUAAAACACACAAGUGUUGACAAGUACAAGAGAAAGGGUCAAAAUGACGAUCAGUAGCGUGCAAAUAAGCAAAAUUACUACAUAUGUAGUAUCUCUGCCCCUCUGCCCGAGGUAAGAUCUGCGUACAUAUUACCCUCCCCAGACCCCACUUGUGGGAUUACACUGGGGUUGUUGUUGUUGUUGUACUACAUAUGUAGCAUCAUAGUGAUUAAACAUGCUAUUCUAUUU